rnacentral:rRNA from 1 species
GAUGAACGCUGGCGGCGUGCUUAACACAUGCAAGUCGAACGGAAAGGCCCAAGCUUGCUUGGGUACUCGAGUGGCGAACGGGUGAGUAACACGUGGGUGAUCUGCCCUGCACUUCGGGAUAAGCCUGGGAAACUGGGUCUAAUACCGGAUAGGACCACUUCUUGGAUGUUGUGGUGGAAAGGUUUUUCGGUGUGGGAUGAGCUCGCGGCCUAUCAGCUUGUUGGUGGGGUAAUGGCCUACCAAGGCGUCGACGGGUAGCCGGCCUGAGAGGGUGUACGGCCACAUUGGGACUGAGAUACGGCCCAGACUCCUACGGGAGGCAGCAGUGGGGAAUAUUGCACAAGGGGCGCAAGCCUGAUGCAGCGACGCCGCGUGGGGGAGGACGGCCUUCGGGUUGUAAACUCCUUUCGCUAGGGACGAAGCGUUUUGUGACGGUACCUGGAGAAGAAGCACCGGCUAACUACGUG